GACGAACGCUGGCGGCGUGCUUAACACAUGCAAGUCGAACGAUGACGACCGAGCUUGCUCGGUCUGAUUAGUGGCGAACGGGUGAGUAACACGUGAGCAACCUGCCCUUCACUCUGGGAUAACCUCGGGAAAUCGGGGCUAAUACCGGAUAUGAGCUCCUGUCGCAUGGCGGGGGUUGGAAAGUUUUUCGGUGUGGGAUGGGCUCGCGGCCUAUCAGUUUGUUGGUGGGGUAGUGGCUCACCAAGGCGAUGACGGGUAGCCGGCCUGAGAGGGCGACCGGCCACACUGGGACUGAGACACGGCCCAGACUCCUACGGGAGGCAGCAGUGGGGAAUAUUGCACAAUGGGCGAAAGCCUGAUGCAGCGACGCCGCGUGAGGGAUGACGGCCUUCGGGUUGUAAACCGCUUUCGGCAGGGAAGAAGCGAAAGUGACGGUACCUGCAGAAGAAGCGCCGGCUAACUACGUG
rnacentral:rRNA from 1 species